rnacentral:rRNA from 1 species
GCGAGCUUGCCUAGAUGAAUUUGGUGCUUGCACCAAAUGAAACUAGAUACAAGCGAGCGGCGGACGGGUGAGUAACACGUGGGUAACCUGCCCAAGAGACUGGGAUAACACCUGGAAACAGAUGCUAAUACCGGAUAACAACACUAGACGCAUGUCUAGAGUUUAAAAGAUGGUUCUGCUAUCACUCUUGGAUGGACCUGCGGUGCAUUAGCUAGUUGGUAAGGUAACGGCUUACCAAGGCAAUGAUGCAUAGCCGAGUUGAGAGACUGAUCGGCCACAUUGGGACUGAGACACGGCCCAAACUCCUACGGGAGGCAGCAGUAGGGAAUCUUCCACAAUGGACGCAAGUCUGAUGGAGCAACGCCGCGUGAGUGAAGAAGGGUUUCGGCUCGUAAAGCUCUGUUGGUAGUGAAGAAAGAUAGAGGUAGUAACUGGCCUUUAUUUGACGGUAAUUACUUAGAAAGUCACGGCUAACUACGUGCCAGCAGCCGCGGUAAUACGUAGGUGGCAAGCGUUGUCCGGAUUUAUUGGGCGUAAAGCGAGUGCAGGCGGUUCAAUAAGUCUGAUGUGAAAGCCUUCGGCUCAACCCGGAGAAUUGCAUCAGAAACUGUUGAACUUGAGUGCAGAAGAGGAGAGUGGAACUCCAUGUGUAGCGGUGGAAUGCCCCGAUAUAUGGAAGA